rnacentral:rRNA from 1 species
AUGGAGCUCAGUCUUCGAGAGGAAGACCUUGACGAUGUGGUGUUCGAUGAGAAGGAGGCAUCGCCGGAGGCGGCGCGAUGGAUUGCAUUGAUCAGGGUACACUCGGCUAAAACAUACAGCCAAUAUUGGGUUUUCAAGAAUAUGAGAGCGGUGUGGGAUCUAGCACAGGAGGUCCAGUUCAAACCGCUUGAGGACAAUCUGUACACAGCCCAGUUCUCAUGUUUGGGAGAUUGGGAGAGAGUAACACGUGAUGGCCCAUGGCACUUCCGAGGAGACGCCGUUAUUCUGAAACCAUAUGAUGGCUUGGCAAAACCGACAACAGUUCAACUUGAUACUCUCGAGAUCUGGGUGCAGAUUCAUGAUGUCCCGCCUUUGUAUGCUCAUCUGGUGCCAUCUCUAGCUCAAAAGGUUGGAGAAGUUUUAUUUGCUGAACCCCAAUCGCAUUGA